ensembl:lncRNA
CUGAACAUUCAUGAUGAAAUAGCAUGUAGAAUUUAGCAUUUUAAAAUGGCAAAGUCUUGCACGUCCUUGCCCUGAGGUGUUACGAGCUACUUAUAAUUAAUUGCAUGAAACAGAAAGCCAAUUAUACUCAGUUGUUCCUCUCUAUGAUCCAGAGACACAAGAAAAGGAAAGUCUUCUUUGGAGUACUCGGUAGCCUUGUAGGGAAUGUUUUUUAUUAAAAGUAUCAUUCCCACACAGACUGUGGUGAAUAAUGACCUGCCUAAUCUUUGCCCUGCUCCAAUUUACCAUUUGGAUUAAUGGUAGGUGAGGUUUAAUUAUGGCACACAUAUUAUAUUAAACCUCAUUGUUCUUUCUGAACAUGAAGUACUAGGAGUAGGUGAGGAAUACAGGAGCUUAAAGGCCCUUUGUAUAAAAAGAAAAAAAAACUAGCACAGUUUUUUUUUUUCAUGGUAUCUGAAUGGUGAAGGUUUUUUUUUUGCUGCCUAAAGACAAGAAUUAUUGUAUGCACAGGUUUAAUAAGAGCAGCCUGCUAAUCACAAGCAUGACCUGAGAUUGUCGUGUAGCUAGGGGAUUCAAAAGCAGUGUAUUCUAUUGUCAUGUUUAACAUAGGAGUGGUCUUGUUUUAUCUUGUGUGAUCUAGGUGAUCAAGCAUUUUCAAACUUUAGUUAGUUGGUUGUAGUAUGAGACGGUGAGAGAGAGAGAAAAAGAAAAUGUGAGAGAGAAAGAGGGGGAAAAAAACCUAAUAAAUGUGCAUAAGGAAGUCUUAUUGUGUGGCAAACAUCAAGCCACAAUCAACCAUUUUAAUCUUGAAAGGAAAAGGACAAGAGGUGUAACCGUAGAUCUCUAACUAGUGCAAUGCUUGGAACUGUGGUAUUUUACAAAAAGCCAGCUACUAACGUAUGCGCUCACACUUGUUUUUUUUUUCGCAUUUGCUUCUUCAUCUUUGAUCUUGGAGGCUUUUCAGUAGGUCUCUCUCUCUCUCUCUCUCUCUCUCUGAGCCUCGAAAUGCAUAAAAGUGACAUCCGUCUGCUUGAAGGUAUCGUUCACCCUCCUUGAUUGCAGGUUAAAAUAUUAGGUAAAGAGACAAGCCAAUAUGUUCAUCUUUAUCAAAGGCCAUGUUUUUACAGGCCUCACAACUGAGAUGGAAAGAAGAGUGAAGUGUAGAGGAAAGUGACGACAGGAAGCGGCGCAAACGCAGACACCAUUUAACCAAAAAAAACAAAACAACAACCCAACAACAAGUGAGUGGUCCAUGUAGUCUCAGCACCCUGGCUAAAGGAUCCUUUCUGGCCUUUCUGGUUCCUCCACGUCUCCCAUUCUCCCAGGAUUCUAUCACAGCACUCUUUGGGUGAGUUCUUACAGUGGGUUUCAUGAUCAAGCCAAAGCCUGGGAGCUCAUUAGAGAGCUAGGUCUGGUGUAUAUAUAGUUUAGUGUAUGGACAUAAAAGAGAAGGGAUGCAAAAAGAGAUACAUGUUCCAGAACAUCUGGCGAGGCUGGUAGCUGAGGCCACAUACUUCCCAGAUGCAGAAGUGCAUUGUUGAUGAUGUCUGAUUUACUGCUACUGAUAAAACUCCUGGUUUAUUUGCUCAGCGUCCUUUAUGCAUAGAGCUGGACUAUUCAUUAAAAAGGUUUUAUGAGUUAAUGUUUUAUGGUAUGUGUAAAAAUUACACAAUACAGCUCUUCUUUUGGGAAUUCAGAGCCUGAGCUACAAUGGGCCCUUAUUUUUUCUGCUACUUGUCAUAGCACUGCCACCACCAAACUGUUUGCUCACCAGAUCUGGAGCUGUUAACCUUGGACAGUGACUACAAGUAUUUAUUUAGUCUGCUCUGGGUUAGAAGGGCCACCAUAUUGGCAGAACUCUUUCACUUGAAAUCAUGGACUCACACAUUUUGCCUCUUCCCAGUGGAAAUCCUUGCAAUUUGUCUGUGAUUAUUAUUCCAUUUGUUUUGUUCAAGCAAUGUUAUCUUCACUUAGUUCUUUUGUUCUGGUCAUUUUUUUUAGUUCUUCUGUUUUUUUUUUUGUUUUGUUUUGUUUUGUUUGUUUUUUUGUUGUUUUUUUGUACGUAGAUGUUGAUAGAAUAUGGACUUGGAUAUGAACUUGGGAAAGGAAUAUGUGUGUUAAACAUAUGUUUGCCCACAGGCUAAAAACUGUUAGAAACCAUUCAAGGUUAUUACAUCUUUUUAGUCUGUCUACCUACAGGCUACAUUGUUUUAAAAGUUUACAACUAUUUAUAAAUCGUUCUACCACCAGGAUGGAAAAUCCUUUUUUACCCAAAAAAAGAAGAGAAAAAUGGAUAUCAUUUCAACGAAGUAUAGUGUUAAAAGACAUCCUGGGAGAAAGACAGUUAGUCACUGCCUCUACAGCUGUUUCCUGACAUUUCUGCAAAAUGUUGUGGAAAAUUUAAUGAAGGCUAGCUGGUUUCAGUCUUACCCAGUGGAAAGUCUUACCAUAUACAAUUAAGACCAACAUGAAGCCUCACUUUUUCCUGCUUUCUUUUGUUUUUCCCAUUUGUAGCACAGUGUUCUCUGCUUCAUCCAGGCAAAAUGUACAUUUAACAACUACAGCUGUACACCAUAAAGCAUGGCCUGUAAUGUCACUUCUUUACACUGUCUGAUCUUGGCACAUUUUUUUGCAGACAUCACCAUAGAUGCAAUCAGUAGCAAUUAAAGCAUGAAAAUGUCAGCAAAAAUUAUAUCUUUUUUUUUUAAUUUUUUUUGUGCCUAAAGACAGCUUAAAUAGACUAAAUUAGCAAUAACGCUGCAUUCUGUUUUACUUUAAUUAAAGUAAUGCUGGCUAUUUCUGAAACAUUCCAGUUCUUAAUUAACAAAUGAAUAACUCUUAUAAAAUAUCCAACUUGAUGCCUGUGUGUAUAUGUUUACAUGACUCAGCAAGGUCAUUCUAGUAGGUAUACUCUGGGGACGUAACUGAAUAUGAAUACAUUAUACGGUACGUAUUGAACCAAUAAUGUGUUCUAAACAGAUGCAAAUACAGAUACUCAAUAUUAUAAGUCACAAAUUUGCUGACUUUCGACUCAACAUAAAUUAAGAAAACCUGUGACUCUACUUUGACUUUCAUCAAUGACUUGUGACUUCACUUGGACUCGAGCCCUUUGACUUUGGUACAUUUUCAAACAUCAACUAUUCUUUAUCCCAUCAAACAAGACAUUUUCAGCAAAUCGGCAUCAAUCCUCAUUUCAAAGGUUAAUAUUCAACCAGUUCAACAGCCAGUCAACCUUCAUUAGACAACGAGAAGGUUAAAAGAGUGCUCAUUUCCUGACGACAGAGACGCUUCUGCAGUAGCCAUGCUCACAUGUAUAAAGUAGCUUUCGCCUUAAAAAAAUUAUGUUUGCAACAUGUAGAACCUGUGGUUCAAGAAUCAGCUGCAAAAGCAACAACUUCAAGUUUUGUUUAGCAUUUGAAGUUGCACCGAUGGAUACCCUUAGUGAAAAUAGUCUACACCUCAUCUCAUGUGAAACUGAACUGAAAUAUUUAGUUUUAUUGUAAUAGUCAUGCUUCUCUCAAAUAACCAUAUUUUUCCACUGAGUUAUAAAGUUUGUCUAGAAAAUGAUGAACACCAUUUAAAAAAAAAAAAAAAAUCUUGAAUGAUUUGUAUAAAUUUUCUAGAUUAAAGUGAUAGUUCAACCAAAAAUGAAAAUUCUGUCCUCAAUUACUCCCCCUCAUGUCGUCCCAAAUCCGUAAGACUUUUGUUCAUCUUAGGAACACAAAUGAAGACAUUUUAAUGAAACCUGGGAGAUUUCUUUCCCUCCAUUUACAGACCAGUAUCCAAAACUUUCAAGCUCCAAAACAAAAAGUUCAUAAAGGCAACGUAAAAGUAAUCCAUGUGACUCCUGUGGUUUAAUCCCAAUUUUAUGAAGCGAUAUGAAUGCUCUGCGUGCGCAAAAAAAAAAUCAAAUUAAGUCUUUAUUCACAAAAUAUCUGACACAAGAUCUCUGAUACCCAAUCAUGAGAGAACCAAGACACACACGUGUUGUGCUGAUGCGAGAGUGGACAAAAAAUGCAAGUCCUCAUCUAUGUCCAACUCUGCAGACAUUGUUAUUAUGUGACUCAGUUUGUGUACAGUGUCCCUCUUCAUCUGCUGUAAACAGUGCAGCGCUUCCAGGUCUCGCUGUAUCUUGAGAGUGGAAUGUCAGAAAUCUCCCAGGUAUCAUUAAAAUGUCUUCAUUUCUGUUCUGAAGAUGAACGAAAGUCUUAUGGGUUUGGGACGAUAUGAGGGGGAGUAACAACCACAGAUAUUGGUUGUUUUCCAUUGCUUGUUUUUUUUGCUUGUCAUUGAUUAUUUUCUCAAACCGUCUUCCUUGUCUCUUCUACAAUAAAGCUAUGUCUUAAAGCUAGACGAAUGAGUUUCCAGCAGCUUUCACUGGAAUAUUUCCAUCACACAUGGCAGUAUGAUCACAUUAUUAGGUCAUGAAUUUAUUGAUAGGAAACAUCUUGAUAUUGUGCCAUAUGCAAAGUUUAAUCAACCUGUAGGGUUGUUUUCUUGUUUAUUUCUUCUUUCACUUGUCCAUUGAUUUGAUAUUGUCACAUCAAGAGACCAUUAUGCUUGAAUCAAAAUGAUUCUACGAAUUCGAAACAAUUUAUUGUACCAACCUUUUAUCAAAGACAGAUGCUAAAGUAAUAAAUAAUGCUGCUAUUGAAAAGCUGUAAGAUAGAUGGAAACUUUCAUGCAAUUUAUACAUGCACAUGUGUAAACACAUACUGCUUGCACACAUGUAGCCUAUGUUUUAGCAUAUAUCUCUAUCCUAUACAAGUUUUAGCUAUGUCCGGUAGCACAUGUACAUUUCAGCACAGAUAUACAAACAUGAGCCUUGAUGUCUAUGGUAGAAAUGUUGAAUCCAUGUGAAAAUCAUCCCCAAAAGGACCGUUAAGGACAACUUAAGACAGCUUAGUGUUCUAAUGACCUCCAGAGUUGAUGAAAGGGAACAUAACAUUCACACACUACACUAGACUUUGCCCACAUUUUAGUGACUAAUCGCUGAUAAUAGCUUAUGAGCUUGUGCAUCCAUUGGCCUAUGUUAUGAUUUGAAAAUUUUUUAAUUUACCGUGUGGAAAGGACUCGAUAACUAGUUGGCAUUAUUCAGAAUAAUCAUCAUCAAUACAGUUAUAAUGACAGGUUAGCGGAUCGCAUCAUGUACACUGUCAUAUCUCUGCACAGAUCACAAGCAGAUCUCUAUUCCCCUCCACAUGGGUAGUUAGAUGUUUUUUGAGAGCAAAUGCCCAUCAUUUGCCUAAAUGUGAGCCUGUUGAUGCCUUCUUUUUCCGGCAUAUUCACAGGCUCCCUCCUGCCUUCUUCUAGUGCCUGGCAUUGCAGCUGGAGGAUAAUUGUGUAUUCGACCAAAUGUCUUGAAGGGCUGUGCAGUGCUGCGAAUCCGGCUGACAUCGCUCCCAGCCCACUCUGACCAAGCGUUGUGUAACUCUCCCCCUUUCAUAACACAAUUCAUCAACAACAUAACUCUGCAUGUUAUUCAUGCCUUCCCCUCCCACACAGGAACUGUCACCCACACUCCUCACCCCAUCUUGAGAUGGCUGUGGAUGCUUCCCACGCAUACUUUCUCUCUCCAGCACUCAUACACUUGUACAUGCAUGCGCACACACACACACACACACACACACACACACACACAAAUACAAAAGCGCUAAUAGGCACAUGUACACCCAAACACACUCACACACAUUCAAGCUCUCCUGGCCAUGGUGUUAAAAAUACCUCAUCUUAUUUAAUUGCUUCCUUUCUGCUCCACAUAUCUCACUGAGAGUUCUUUCUCUUUUUUUGUUAGUCUGCUUCUUUGUGGAAAAGGAAAUAAAACUGUGAGUUUUUUCCCCCUCCAGUCUGCUUCCAGUAAGCUUGCGUUUGCCUGUGCGGGGACCUGGAAUGUGCAAUAUAAAUCUGUUUUUUGACACUGUAGAGGUUUGUAACUUCCAUCAGCUGACCAUCUGGAUGUGAUUUAAGCUGGCUUCCCUAUCUGUGUUGGUUUCCCUCCCCUGAUGCAUGCCAUGCCUAGCCAAGGGAUCACUUUGUGCUUCAUCUUGCGGGUUCUAAUGAGGAGUCAGCAGGACACUCCAGGUGGCUGACUUGUACACAUUUAGGGUGAUAGAUCCCACAGACCUGCUAACACAGUCCAAAAAACACACUGUGGAAAGUGCUGGGUGAGGAAAAAUACAUCUUUUGUGAGGAGACAGGAUGAAUAGUAGAAAAAGAAAGGUGUGUAUGUUGAGUAUUAUGAGUGAAGGUGUCAUGAGAAUAUUAUUAGUGGGUUGUUAGAGAAGGGUUUUGUCUUAGAAACUUCCUGAGCUACAAUGUCUUUCCAUUCUUCAGCCAAGGAAUAUUCUAGGAAAGAUGGCAGCUAACUAGCUUGUCUCUGUCUUUGCAGAAUGUGCUUCUUUAUCUUCUUACACACAUUAUUAAUCAGUGAAACAAUAUGUGCCAGCUAUAAGAGAACACGAUACUUCAGUGUAGGAUCUGAAGUUCAGUCAGACUCUCACGGAUGUGCUCUGCGAGUGCCAGUUGGAACUGUAAAAGAGCUGGAUAAUACUUAAAACACGAAUCUAGAGAAAUCAGUGCUUGUCUUGCAUAAUUUCUCAAUUUGACGAGAAAAAGUCGCAUACAAACCCAGAAAUAAAUUUUAAAAAAGGAUUCUGCAAGAACUCGCUCCAAUCCGUUCCUUUGUUUCAGUGAAAUACUCGUUGAUUGGAGACAAGUUGUUGAAGUAUUCUGUCAUGCAACUAAUGAUGAGAGAGAGGAAAAAAACAACUCUGCCUGCUCUGCUAACAGCGUACCUCCUCGGUAUCAUGGGCAGGAUGUCAUCUGGCCAGCAGAGAAAAGAUAGAACCUGAUAUCUGGAUCAUCCAUCCUGGCUCAUCAGUAACCCCAUCUUCCUCCUUAGAGCUUGUUUGGGUGGGGAUGCAAAGCCCCAGGACCAUACAUUCCUUGUUUUGACCUCUGGAUCAACUUAAAGCCGAGAAGUGAGGCAUUGUUAUCUAAUUAUAUGUGUCACAUUCCUGAUUUUUCAGUCUUGAAGUUGCAAAACUAUUUUUUAGUAUGGAAAAAAAAAAAAAAACCCAGAGAAACAGCCAGGCUUGAUUAAAUUUCCAUUUGGAACAGCCAUAUAGACAUAUUACAGAAUAUGACUCUUAAUUCAUAAAAAAUAUCUGAUCUGCUUGUGUGUACGGGUGUGUGUGUGUGUGUGUGUGUGUGUGUGUGUGUGUGUGUGUGUGUGUGUGUGUGUGUGUGUGUGUAUACGUACGAGUGUGUGUGUAUGUGUGUGUACGGGUGUGUGUGUGUGUGUGUGUGUGCACACGCGCUUUAGCAUGUGUAUUUUCCACUUACUCAUUCUUUUCAGACAUCAUUAUUUUCUUGACAGUGUGUAUAUCCUGCUCACACAUUCCUGUGCACACACAGAAAAAGUGCACCAAUGUAUUUUUGGUCUGGCUUUUAAAAAACACAUAGAGUUGCUAAAUUCUGUUUCUACAGCUUGUGCUAUCCUUUUUCUCUUUUUUUUUUCUUCCUUUUUUUUUUUUUUACCAGCUGAUCAUUAUGAAGUAUGUUGAAGGGGAGAGGAAAGAUAGAAGGAAAUAUUUUCUAAUGCAGAAUGAUAUAGGCAGCAGAGCUCACUAUAAAACUGCAAAAUGACACUCUGUGGGGAAAAAAAGCAUAAGAAACGAUAAGGAAUUUAUGUAGAAGAUAUAUUUGAAUCAGGACAGCAUGGUGGCGCAGCGGGUAGCAUUGCUGCCUCACAGCUCUAGUGUCCUGGGUUUGAUCCUGAGUUUGGGUUACUGUCUUAUUUUGUAUGGGUGUUCU